rnacentral:rRNA from 1 species
GACGAACCCUUGCGGCGUGCUUAACACAUGCAAGUCGAACGGAAAGGCCCUGCUUUUGUGGGGUGCUCGAGUGGCGAACGGGUGAGUAACACGUGAGUAACCUGCCCUUGACUUUGGGAUAACCUCAGGAAACUGGGGCUAAUACCGGAUAGGAGCUCCUGCUGCAUGGUGGGGGUUGGAAAGUUUCGGCGGUUGGGGAUGGACUCGCGGCUUAUCAGCUUGUUGGUGGGGUAGUGGCUUACCAAGGCUUUGACGGGUAGCCGGCCUGAGAGGGUGACCGGCCACAUUGGGACUGAGAUACGGCCCAGACUCCUACGGGAGGCAGCAGUGGGGAAUAUUGCACAAUGGGCGGAAGCCUGAUGCAGCAACGCCGCGUGCGGGAUGACGGCCUUCGGGUUGUAAACCGCUUUCGCCUGUGACGAAGCGUGAGUGACGGUAAUGGGUAAAGAAGCACCGGCUAACUACGUGCCAGCAGCCGCGGUGAUACGUAGGGUGCGAGCGUUGUCCGGAUUUAUUGGGCGUAAAGGGCUCGUAGGUGGUUGAUCGCGUCGGAAGUGUAAUCUUGGGGCUUAACCCUGAGCGUGCUUUCGAUACGGGUUGACUUGAGGAAGGUAGGGGAGAAUGGAAUUCCUGGUGGAGCGGUGGAAUGCGCAGAUAUCAGGAGGAACACCAGUGGCGAAGGCGGUUCUCUGGGCCUUUCCUGACGCUGAGGAGCGAAAGCGUGGGGAGCGAACAGGCUUAGAUACCCUGGUAGUCCACGCUGUAAACGGUGGGUACUAGGUGUGGGGUCCAUUCCACGGGUUCCGUGCCGUAGCUAACGCUUUAAGUACCCCGCCUGGGGAGUACGGCCGCAAGGCUAAAACUCAAAGGAAUUGACGGGGCCCCGCACAAGCGGCGGAGCAUGCGGAUUAAUUCGAUGCAACGCGUAGAACCUUACCUGGGUUUGACAUGGAUCGGGAGUGCUCAGAGAUGGGUGUGCCUCUUUUGGGGUCGGUUCACAGGUGGUGCAUGGCUGUCGUCAGCUCGUGUCGUGAGAUGUUGGGUUAAGUCCCGCAACGAGCGCAACCCUUGUUCACUGUUGCCAGCACGUUAUGGUGGGGACUCAGUGGAGACCGCCGGGGUCAACUCGGAGGAAGGUGGGGAUGACGUCAAGUCAUCAUGCCCCUUAUGUCCAGGGCUUCACGCAUGCUACAAUGGCUGGUACAGAGAGUGGCGAGCCUGUGAGGGUGAGCGAAUCUCGGAAAGCCGGUCUCAGUUCGGAUUGGGGUCUGCAACUCGACCUCAUGAAGUCGGAGUCGCUAGUAAUCGCAGAUCAGCAACGCUGCGGUGAAUACGUUCCCGGG